AACGAACGCUGGCGGCAUGCCUAACACAUGCAAGUCGAACGAGAUCUUCGGGUCUAGUGGCGCACGGGUGCGUAACGCGUGGGAAUCUGCCCUUUGGUUCGGAAUAACAGUUGGAAACGACUGCUAAUACCGGAUGAUGGCGAAAGUCCAAAGAUUUAUCGCCAGAGGAUGAGCCCGCGUAGGAUUAGCUAGUUGGUGUGGUAAAGGCGCACCAAGGCGACGAUCCUUAGCUGGUCUGAGAGGAUGAUCAGCCACACUGGGACUGAGACACGGCCCAGACUCCAACGGGAGGCAGCAGUGGGGAAUAUUGGACAAUGGGCGAAAGCCUGAUCCAGCAAUGCCGCGUGAGUGAUGAAGGCCUUAGGGUUGUAAAGCUCUUUUACCGGGGAUGAUAAUGACAGUACCGGGAGAAUAAGCUCCGGCUAACUCCGUGCCAGCAGCCGCGGUAA
rnacentral:rRNA from 1 species